rnacentral:rRNA from 1 species
CGAGCAUAAUGAAUUUUAGUUCGAGUCCCCGAAACUAAGUGAGCUACUUCGAAACGUCCUAAAGACAAGCCCGUCUCUGUUGCAAUAGAGUGGGGUGAUUUCCAAGUAGAGGUGAUAAACCUACCGCACUUAGAGAUAGCUGGUUACUCAAGAAAAGAAUAUAAGUUCAACCUUAAGCUUUCUAAUUAUAAAAGAAACAUGUAAAACUUAAGAGCUAUUCAAAUAAGGCACAGCUUAUUUGAAACAGGAGACAACCUAUAACCCCGGGUUAAAAUUCCCUAGAAUUUAUACCAAGUAGGCCUAAAAGCAGCCAUCUUUUAAAAAGCGUUAAAGCUUAAUAAUUAUUCUACCCCAAUAUUCUCAUAUAUCUUCAACCCAUCAUCCGUAUUGAGUAAUCCCAUAAACUUAUGGGAAAUAUAAUGCUAGAACUAGUAACAAGAAAAUUUUCUCCAAAAUAUAAACCUAAGCCACAAUAGAUAGCCUACUGGCAAUUAACGUAAAUGAUCACUCUAUAGCACCUUGAACAAGAAAAACCUAUAGCCACCCCACGUCAACCUUACACCAGAAUAUUGAUGGAAAGAUUAAAAGAAAAAGAAGGAACUCGGCAAACCUUAACCC